GACGAACGCUGGCGGCGUGCCUAAUACAUGCAAGUUGAGCGCUGAAGGUUGGUACUUGUACCAACUGGAUGAGCAGCGAACGGGUGAGUAACGCGUGGGGAAUCUGCCUUUGAGCGGGGGACAACAUUUGGAAACGAAUGCUAAUACCGCAUAAAAACUUUAAACACAAGUUUUAAGUUUGAAAGAUGCAAUUGCAUCACUCAAAGAUGAUCCCGCGUUGUAUUAGCUAGUUGGUGAGGUAAAGGCUCACCAAGGCGAUGAUACAUAGCCGACCUGAGAGGGUGAUCGGCCACAUUGGGACUGAGACAGGGCCAAACUCCUACGGGAGGCAGCAGUAGGGAAUCUUCGGCAAUGGACGAAAGUCUGACCGAGCAACGCCGCGUGAGUGAAGAAGGUUUUCGGAUCGUAAAACUCUGUUGGUAGAGAAGAACGUUGGUGAGAGUGGAAAGCUCAUCAAGUGACGGUAACUACCCAGAAAGGGACGGCUAACUACGUG
rnacentral:rRNA from 1 species